rnacentral:rRNA from 1 species
UGCCUAAUACAUGCAAGUCGCACGCUAACAGGUCUUCGGAUGCUGACGAGUGGCGAACGGGUGAGUAAUACAUCGGAACGUGCCCGAUCGUGGGGGAUAACGAAGCGAAAGCUUUGCUAAUACCGCAUAAGAUCUACGGAUGAAAGCAGGGGACCGCAAGGCCUUGCGCGAACGGAGCGGCCGAUGGCAGAUUAGGUAGUUGGUGGGAUAAAAGCUUACCAAGCCGACGAUCUGUAGCUGGUCUGAGAGGACGACCAGCCACACUGGGACUGAGACACGGCCCAGACUCCUACGGGAGGCAGCAGUGGNGAAUUUUGGACAAUGGGCGAAAGCCUGAUCCAGCCAUGCCGCGUGCAGGAUGAAGGCCUUCGGGUUGUAAACUGCUUUUGUACGGAACGAAAAGACUCUGGUUAAUACCUGGGGUCCAUGACGGUACCGUAAGAAUAAGCACCGGCUAACUACGUGCCAGCAGCCGCGGUAAUACGUAGGGUGCAAGCGUUAAUCGGAAUUACUGGGCGUACAGCGAGCCCAGGCGGCUAUAUAAGACAGAUGUGAAAUCCCCGGGCUCAACCUGGGAACUGCAUUUGUGACUGUAUAGCUAGAGUACGGCAGACGGGGAUGGAAUUCCGCGU